GACGAACGCUGGCGGCGUGCUUAACACAUGCAAGUCGAACGGAAAGGCCUGCUUUUGGGGGGUGCUCGAGGUGCGAACGGGGUAAUAAAACGGGAGUAACCUGCCCUUGACUUUUGGAUAACUUCAGGGAAAUGGGGCUAAUAACGGGUAAGGACUCCUGCUGCAUGGGGGGGGUUGGGAAAUUUCGGCGGUUGGGGAUGGACUCGCGGCUUAUCAGCUUGUUGGUGGGGUAGUGGCUUACCAAGGCUUUGACGGGUAGCCGGCCUGAGAGGGUGACCGGCCACAUUGGGACUGAGAUACGGCCCAGACUCCUACGGGAGGCAGCAGUGGGGAAUAUUGCACAAUGGGCGGAAGCCUGAUGCAGCAACGCCGCGUGCGGGAUGACGGCCUUCGGGUUGUAAACCGCUUUCGCCUGUGACGAAGCGUGAGUGACGGUAAUGGGUAAAGAAGCACCGGCUAACUACGUG
rnacentral:rRNA from 1 species